rnacentral:rRNA from 1 species
GACGAAGGUGGCAAGCGUUGUUCGGAAUCACUGGGCAUAAAGCGUGCGUAGGCGGCCAGAUCAGUCGGGUGUGAAAUCCCUCGGCUCAACCGAGGAACUGCGCCCGAUACUGUCUGGCUUGAGGUCCGGAGGGGAGAGUGGAAUUCCUGGUGUAGCGGUGAAAUGCGCAGAUAUCAGGAAGAACACCCGUGGCGAAGGCGGUUCUCUGGGACGGUACUGACGCUGAGACGCGAAAGCGUGGGGAGCGAACAGG